GUAAGCAUUGUUUAAUGAGAAUUUUUUGUCUGACCACUUCUCUUCUUAAAGGAAAGUGCAUUCAUUUAGUUUUUAAAUCAGAUGCUUAAAGACCCCGGUAUAGUUUCAUUCUCAUCUCUUAGCUCACUAUAUCAAGGCUGUAUUCAAUUAGAGGGCAAUGGCUAUUUAUAGCAUUCUUGAAUGUAUAUCCACAAUUAUAACUCUGUGCAAAGGGCCAAGUGCAAGUUUUAUAUGGAACACAUUUCAAUAAUUCACAGAAUAUAAAUGACUGAGGAGUCACUAUAGGACGUAAAAGGGACUCUCAAAGAUAUGGUAAGGCUCUAGUAAUCUGGAAUAACUGCAUUGAUUCCAUAAAGUGCUAAAAUCAGUAUUUGAUCCAACAUGCUCUUUUUAAACUCAUAGGGUAAUCACCAGUGUUUGGAUUUCUCUAUUUAACAGUAGUAAGAAAUAAGACAGAUUACCUGGAUGCCUGCUGAACCUUUUAUUUUCUGUCAUGUUAAAUAUUUCUGUACACAAGCACAGAAAUAUAAAUAACAGAUUUUGGGUGGAGAAAUGAAUUUUCUAAGCCGGAGGAAUAUUACCUACUCAUAGAGCAGCAAGAACCUAUUAAGAUUAGCUGGGUGUAAGCCAUAUGAGCUGUGUCUGUCUGGGUUUUUUAAUCUCUCCAAAAGAUUUCUAUUUCCAAAAGUUUGUUUUUUUUGUUUUUUUUUUGUAACCUGUUGUCUCCCCUUAGAUAUAUAUGAGACAGUAUGGCUCACUCAAUUAAUCUAAUCUUAAGUCUAAUUAACCUAAAAAUAGAUGUAUUCAGUAGAUCCUAAUACAAGAGAAACCAAAUUAAAUGUGCAAAUAAAAAUAGAAAACAAUUGGUUGGCAUUUCAAUUUGCCUUUUUUCUUACUAGUUUGUAAAUAGCAUGUGCAUAGUGUAUAUUUGUGCUGUAUGUAUAAUGUGCUUCUAUGCGUUGGUGCUGAUCCCAAAGAUGAUUAUGUGCAGAAGUCCUACCUUUCUUCCAUAAAAUAAUAUAGAAAUGUCCAUAUGAGUUCAAAGCUUAGGGCUUGUCUACAUGAUUUACACUAUUCUGUGUGUGUGUGUGUGUUGUGGGAGGCAGGGGGCUUUGGUGUGUGGGUGGUAGUGAGACUGCAGUUAGGUUUUUAUGGUUGUUAAUUUGGAUUUCCACUUCAAAGUUAUAUGGCUUUUGGCAAUGAGUUCUAAUGUAUCUUUGUAUUUAAUUUUCUUAUUUUAUGGAUUGAUUCUGUGCCAUGAGUAUGCAUUUGGCAACACCAGGACAUGGAAAAUAUGAGAGACACAUUCACCACUAACCUUUCUUCUGUUUUAUUUCAGAGGUUUUUGCAAAUCUCUUCCUACAAAAUAAAUAAAUAUAUAUAAUCAAUUGAGGGCAAGCCAAGUACACAUUGCACAGUGCAGUGAUCCUUCUCUAAUGUUGCAGCUUUGACAAAGGGAUGAGGAGUCUUUCUUGAAAACUGCCAAGAGAAUUGUAAGUAAAUAUAUGUUCUAUUCUCAUAAAAUAUUAAUUGGUGUCCACUACUCCAAGCAAUAGUUUUGAAGUGUUUACAUUGCUCCUCUGAUUGCCGUAAGCCUAACCUCUUUUAUCCUUGUUUUAAUUUUGUGCUCCUCUUUUAUUCAGUGCCCUGCAAUGACACUAACACACUGGAUAGGACUUGAUCCUGCAAACAUUUACACACACACUUAAUUCUACUCGCUGCAUAAGUGUUUGGGAGCAUUAGGUCCAGGAUUAGAACACUGGUCUAAUUAGUUACAACAGCUGCACUUAAUAAGGGCUCUUGUAAAGAUAAUGCCACAAUUUGUGCAUAUAUUAUUAGUCCUAAUUUCAGUGAAGUUCUACCAGGCAGAAAUAUAGGCCAAACAUAGCUCAAAAAUAGGAACCGUUUUUUGGAAAGCUGAAAAUCCCUUUUUUGGGAAAAGUUUGAUCUCCAAUAUAUUAUGCCACAAGAUGAAGAGUGGAUAAAUUGCUUCUUUUUUUUUUUUUUUUUUUUUUUUUUUUUUUUGCUACACCAUAAGAUUCUUUGAAAUGCCUAUUAUAGGAUAUUUAAGAUAUCCCAAGUAAUAAUAUAGCCACUAUAACAAUGCCCUUAAAGGCUACAGUAUCACCAUUGUAUAUACUAGUGUCUUGGAUCAGUACUCUCAGUAGUGUAGUGCUAUUUUGAAGAAUGUUAUCCCUCCUGUUUCUGUUUUCUAUUUUUACUGCCUUCAUGAUCCACAUUUCUUAUAUUCCACCUAGACAAGGAUGUAGCUUGGUCUGUAUCAGGCUCAGCCGUAAUACUGAAGAUGAUCAUCUGCUUCAUGAUCUGUUGAUGAGGAUGGCACCAGUUCUGUUACGGGAAAUCUUCAAUACAAGGUGCAGAUUCAGAAGUGGAAUAAAGCUCUCUCCCCAAGGAUAGAGUUCUGAAUGAGGGUUUCUGGGAUCUGUAGUACCAGUAGCAGCGCAGAGCAGGAGCACUGUCCCGACUGUGUGGGGAAGGCUGAAAAACAGACUGGCUACCAUGCUUUGGCAGAUCUCUAUUGGGACUUAUGGAAGCUGUGGAGGUCAAACUUUGUGGGUUUCCUUGCAAGUUUGAAUCUAUUCAGCUUCACUUGGAAUUUAGUUUUGGCACCAAAACCAAAAAAUGCACACAAUCUAGAAAUGAGCUGAGCUCCCAGAUAUCCGAUAAAGAAAGAACAGUUCAUGCGAUUCACUUAUGCACUGACCUACAGAAGCCUGUUUUCAGCUGUCAUUGUAAUUGCUAAAAUUGUUCUCUUUCACAAAUGUUAGUUAAAAUUAUCCAGUU